UGUGCAUGUAGCUCAGUGGUAGAGUGCUUGCCAGCAUGCACAAGGCCCUGGGUCCAAUCCCCAGCACCACAA
rnacentral:tRNA from 1 species